CAAUAGCGUAUAUUAAAGUUGUUGCGGUUAAAAAGUUCGUAGUUGGAUUUCUGCCAAGGACGACCGGUCCGCCCUCUGGGUGAGUAUCUGGCUUGGCCUGGGCAUCUUCUUGGAGAACGUUGCUGCACUUCACUGUGUGGUGCGGUAUCCAGGACCUUUACUUUGAGGAAAUUAGAGUGUUUCAAGCAGGCUUCCGCCUUGAAUACAUUAGCAUGGAAUAAUAAGAUAGGACCUCGGUUCUAUUUUGUUGGUUUCUAGAGCUGGGGUAAUGAUUAAUAGGGAUAGUUGGGGGCAUUCGUAUUUAACUGUCAGAGGUGAAAUUCAUGGAUUUGUUAAAGACGGACUACUGCGAAAGCAUUUGCCAAGGAUGUUUUCAUUGA
rnacentral:rRNA from 1 species